rnacentral:rRNA from 2 species
UUGACCUCAAAUCGGGUGAGACUACCCGCUGAACUUAAGCAUAUCAAUAAGCGGAGGAAAAGAAACUAACAAGGAUUCCCCUAGUAACUGCGAGUGAAGCGGGAAAAGCUCAAAUUUAAAAUCUGGUGGUCUUUGGCCAUCCGAGUUGUAAUUUAGAGAAGCGUCUUCCGCGCUGGACCGUGCACAAGUCUCCUGGAAUGGAGCGUCAUAGAGGGUGAGAAUCCCGUCUUUGGCAUGGACACACCAGGGCUUUUGUGAUGCGCUCUCGAAGAGUCGAGUUGUUUGGGAAUGCAGCUCAAAAUGGGUGGUGAACUCCAUCUAAAGCUAAAUAUUGGCGAGAGACCGAUAGCGAACAAGUACCGUGAGGGAAAGAUGAAAAGCACUUUGGAAAGAGAGUGAAACAGUACGUGAAAUUGUUGAAAGGGAAACGCUUGAAGUCAGUCACGUCGACCGAGACUCAACCUUGCCUCGGCUUGGUGUACUUCUCGGCUGACGGGUCAGCAUCAAUUUUGCCCCUUGGAUAAUGACGAGGGAAAUGUGACACCUUUAUGGUGUGUUAUAGUCUCUCGUCGCAUGCAAGGGUUGGGAUUGAGGAACUCAGCACGCGCCCUUUGGGUGUCGGGGCUUUGCCCACGAUACGUG